rnacentral:tRNA from 1 species
GGAGAGGUACUCAAGUGGCUGAAGAGGCGGGUUUGCUAAACCUGUAGGGUCAUGUAUUUUGGCCGCGGGGGUUCGAAUCCCCCCCUCUCCGCCA